GUGAUUGGCCGAGGUAUAUGCAAGGCAAUCCGUUGAGGUGUCACAUGGUGAAAUGUGAUUGGCCGAGGUAUAUGCAAGGCAACCCAUGACACUAGGCCAAGGUAUUUGGUAAGGAACAAAAGUUCAAGAAGAUGAAUGCCUCUUAAGUUGGAUGUAUUUAUGACUCUUCUAAGAGGUGAAUCCUAACCCAACCAGGAGAGAUGAAUUCUAGAUAAAGUAUUGUUCCAGGAUAAGUGUACGACUUGAUCACUGCUUUUAAGAGGAGGAAGGCAUCGCUAUAUAAAGGCAUGCACACCCAUGGGUAAGGUGAUCAGGUGCGGGACCAAGCCUAAGAUGUCAGCUUGGAGUUCUGUUUGUCAAGCCAACAAUCGUGCCUCCCGAGGAGGUUCCUAAGUGUUUUAGUGUUCAAGUCAAGUGCAUGUGAUGUCUGUUUUUAUCUUUUUUUUUUUCUUUUGUUGAACAAGACUUUUGUAUACUCUGUAAUAUGGCUAAGUCCCUUUUUGUUUAUCUGUACAUGAGAUAACUUGUGUAUGACGUCAUAUAUAUAUGAUUAUAAGUUUAAAUUUUCUAUCC